UUAAGUAGUAAAGGGCGCACGGAGGAUGCCUUGGCACUAGGAGCCGAAGAAGGACGUGACAAACGACGAAAUGCUACGGGGAGCUGUAAGUAAGCAAAGAUCCGUAGAUAUCCGAAUGGGGGAACCCACCGCUUUUAAAAGGGCGGUACGCGAAAGCGAGGUAACGCAGGGAACUGAAACAUCUAAGUACCUGCAGGAAGAGAAAGAAAAAUCGAUUUCCUAAGUAGCGGCGAGCGAAAGGGAAAGAGCCCAAACCAAUGUGCAUGCAUAUUGGGGUUGUAGGACUCUCAGAAAAGCGUAUGACAAAGUAUAGUAGAACAAUUUGGAAAGAUAGACCGUAGAAGGUAAAAGUCCUGUAUACGAAAUGCUAAGUUGGCGUGAGAGAGCACCUGAGUACGGCGGAACACGAGGAAUUCCGUCGGAAUCUACCAGGACCAUCUGGUAAGGCUAAAUACUACCUAGUGACCGAUAGUGAACCAGUACCGUGAGGGAAAGGUGAAAAGAACCCCGGGAGGGGAGUGAAAGAGAACCUGAAACCGUGUGCUUACAAGUAGUCAGAGCCCUUAAGGGGGUGAUGGCGUGCCUUUUGUAGAAUGAACCGGCGAGUUACUUUAUCAUGCGAGGUUAAGUGGAAGACAUGGAGCCGAAGCGAAAGCGAGUCUUAAUAGGGCGAAAUAGUAUGAUGGAGUAGACCCGAAACCAAGUGAUCUACCCAUGGCCAGGUUGAAGUUUAGGUAACACUGAAUGGAGGACCGAACCAGGACACGUUGAAAAGUGUUUGGAUGAGCUGUGGGUAGCGGAGAAAUUCCAAUCGAACUUGGAAAUAGCUGGUUCUCUCCGAAAUAGCUUUAGGGCUAGCCUCGUUGUGAGUUUACUGGAGGUAGAGCACUGUUUGGACUAGGGGCCCAUCCCGGGUUACCGAAUUCAGACAAACUCCGAAUGCCAGAUAAAUAUCAACGGGAGUCAGACUGCGGGUGAUAAGGUUCGUAGUCGAAAGGGAAACAGCCCAGACCGCCAGCUAAGGUCCCAAAUUGUAUGUUAAGUGGAAAAGGAUGUGAUGAUGCACAGACAACCAGGAUGUUGGCUUAGAAGCAGCCACCAUUUAAAGAGUGCGUAAUAGCUCACUGGUCGAGUGACAUCGCGCCGAAAAUGUACCGGGGCUAAACAUACAACCGAAGCUGCGGAUAUAACUAAUGUUAUAUGGUAGGAGAGCGUUCUAACAUCAUAGAAGCCGAGCUGGAAGGCGAGGUGGAGAGGUUAGAAGUGAGAAUGCCGGUGUGAGUAGCGAAAGAUAGGUGAGAAUCCUAUCCACCGAAAGACUAAGGUUUCCAGAGGAAGGCUCGUCCGCUCUGGGUAAGUCGGGACCUAAGGUGAAGCCGACAGGUGAAGCCGAUGGACAACAGGUAGAAAUUCCUGUACCACCGAAUAUCGAUUGAGAGAAGUGGGGACAGAGGAGGCUAAUUGAUCGUCCUGAUGGAAUAGGACGUCUAAGCACAAAGGUUGAGCAGUAGGCAAAUCCGCUGCUUGGUAAGACUGAAGUGUGAUGGGGAGCGAAAUUAAAGUAGCGAAGUCAAUGAAGCCAAACUCUCAAGAAAAGCCGCUAUCGAGAUAAGAGGUGCCCGUACCGCAAACCGACACAGGUAGUUGGGAAGAGAAUUCUAAGGUGAGCGAGAGAACCAUCGUUAAGGAACUCGGCAAAAUGACCCCGUAACUUCGGGAGAAGGGGUGCCUACGAGAGUAGGCCGCAGUGAAUAGGCCCAAGCGACUGUUUAACAAAAACACAGGUCUCUGCAAAACCGAAAGGUGAAGUAUAGGGGCUGACGCCUGCCCGGUGCUGGAAGGUUAAGAGGAGUGCUUAGGAGUAAUCCGAAGGUAUGAAUUGAAGCCCCAGUAAACGGCGGCCGUAACUAUAACGGUCCUAAGGUAGCGAAAUUCCUUGUCGGGUAAGUUCCGACCCGCACGAAAGGCGUAAUGAUUUGGGCACUGUCUCAACGAGAGACUCGGUGAAAUUUUAGUACCUG
rnacentral:rRNA from 1 species